rnacentral:misc_RNA from 1 species
GAGACCUUCAGGAUCAGCUCUAGUUUUGCCGAUUACCUGGCUUGUUAUUAAGUGUUGUGACAAUAUUAUGACUUGUAAACAAGCAUGGUGCAGAAUCUCAAACCCAGGAAAAGUCGGACUGUAGAAUUGGUUGGAAAGGGAAAUAACUCACUGAUCUACUCCACAAGAUCUCCGUUGUUAUACUGUUUUCUGUGAUAACAUGUAUAUAUGUGUGACUGACCUUAUGAAAUCCUUGUAUAUAAAUAUAUGUAUAUAGAACCACUCCCCAUAUUGCUUCUAGAUAUUUUUUAAUCAGGCAGCUAUGAGUCUGAUACAGAACUUAUAUUAAGACAACACGCCUCUACCUCCAUUCCUAAGUUUAGAAGCAUUCCUUAUUUCACAGAUCUAAUGUAUAAUCUAUGUGAUUCUCAUUUUUGUUCAGUUACAACAGAUAUGAUCAUUUGUAGAUGUUUCUUCAACUACAUGCAUUGUUACUCGUUGUUCUCCUUUUUGCAUUGGAAAAAAAAUUAUCACUCUACAAAAAAUGGCAUUUAUACAGUACUGUAAUUUUUGGCAUGGAAUCGGGUUUAUGAUUUACUGUUAUGUAUGUACAUUUGCUGUGUUUUUGCCAAAAUAUAACGGUCACACAUAAAAAUUCAUGCAUUACCAGUAUUCUCCCUAUUGAAUAUUGAUAUAAUUUGUUUUGUCUUUAAUUAUUUUGAUGUUCAAGAACUGGUUUAGUUUAUUUUUUUUUACAACCCCAAGCUGAGAAUGAUGAUUUGACAGUAGUUGGGAUUUUAUUUUGUAAAACUGUUACUCUGCAUGCUGCCAUGAAAUCAAGACGCCAUAUCAUAAUUUUGAACUCAGGGUCUUUGUAAAUCGGACAAGCAAUCACUUAGAAAUAAUACACAAAGCUUUGUCAAUUAAUUGGAGAGGGAAUCUAAGGUUAUGCAUUAUCUAAUUUAGAAGAAAUAAAAAGGGUUAAAUCAGAAUUAAAGAAUAUACACAGAAAGCUUGAUGGUUGUAAUAGGAAAUCAGUUGAUUGAAAUAUAGAAAGACCAUGGGAAACUAAAAAAGGUUUGAAUGAUUUUUUGUUUUGUUUUAAACUGAAAUGUUUUAUAAAUGCUUAUUCUGUAUUUUUAACAUUUUUACAAUUGGUAAAUGUCAAAACCUCAUAUAUUUUAAGCAGUCUGUAUGAUAGAGAAGUAUGUGAGAAACUUCUUGUUGUUUAUUUGUUGUUUGUAUGUGCUGUUUUUUCAUGAAACAUACUAAUGCCAAUAUAUUAAUUGUAGCUAUGUGCAAUAUGUGAUCUGCUACCAAUAGCUGUAAAUAAAUAGGUCUAAAAGGUG